rnacentral:tRNA from 1 species
GCGGACGUGGCGGAAUUGGUAUACGCGCAUGCUUGAGGUGCAUGUGCCGCAAGGCUUGGAGGUUCAAGUCCUCUCGUCCGCACCA